UACAGAGGGUGCAAGCGUUAAUCGGAAUUACUGGGCGUAAAGCGUGCGUAGACGGUUAUUUAAGUCGGGUGUGAAAUCCCCGGGCUCAACCUGGGAAUUGCAUUCGAGACUGAAUAGCUAGGGUUCGGAAGAGGGAAGCGGAAUUUCCGGUGUAGCGGUGAAAUGCGUAGAUAUCGGAAGGAACAUCAGUGGCGAAAGCGGCUUCCUGGUCCAGAACCGACGUUCAGGCACGAAAGCGUGGGGAGCAAACAGG
rnacentral:ncRNA from 2 species